UGCAGUCGACGCUGAAGCCGACAGUAUUGCUGUUGGUGGAUGAGUGGCGAACGGGUGAGUAACACGUGAGUAACCUGCCCCUGAUUUCGGGAUAAGCCUGGGAAACUGGGUCUAAUACCGGAUAUGACCAAUCUUCGCAUGAUGGUUGGUGGAAAGUUUUUCGAUCGGGGAUGGGCUCGCGGCCUAUCAGCUUGUUGGUGGGGUAAUGGCCUACCAAGGCGACAACGGGUAGCCGGCCUGAGAGGGCGACCGGCCACACUGGGACUGAGACACGGCCCAGACUCCUACGGGAGGCAGCAGUGGGGAAUAUUGCACAAUGGGGGAAACCCUGAUGCAGCGACGCAGCGUGCGGGAUGACGGCCUUCGGGUUGUAAACCGCUUUCAGCAGGGAAGAAGCGAAAGUGACGGUACCUGCACAAGAAGUACCGGCUAACUACGUGCCAGCAGCCGCGGUAAUACGUAGGGUACGAGCGUUGUCCGGAAUUAUUGGGCGUAAAGAGCUCGUAGGUGGUUGGUCACGUCUGCUGUGGAAACGCAACGCUUAACGUUGCGCGUGCAGUGGGUACGGGCUGACUAGAGUGCAGUAGGGGAGUCUGGAAUUCCUGGUGUACCGGUGAAAUGCGCAGAUAUCAUGAGGAACACCGGUGGCGAAAGCGGGACUCUGGGCUGUAACUGACACUGAGGAGC
rnacentral:rRNA from 1 species